CUUCCACAACCUACUCCUACGUUGGUAUCAACUUUUCCAUCACCAACUUUGACGGAUAUGUCUGUCAACCAAAAUACCGAUACUGACAAUCGUCAAGAAUUCUCAAAUGAAAUAGAAAGAACUGUGGCUCAGAUUGGACGAAUCGAUGUGGGAAACCCACAUGAAUCAGAUCAAUCCCCGAACUCAGAUCCUUUCCAGAUAAGAAGAUAUCCUGUUCCUCUGGCAAGGGGCCGAUUAAUGGAACAACAUAUAAAAAACAUAUAACGUCAAACUCCGUUUGGAUCGGAAAAAGUUCAGCCCUCUUUCCCUCGUGGAGCUCUCCC
rnacentral:lncRNA from 1 species